rnacentral:lncRNA from 1 species
CGCAGAGGGCAGGGCGGUCCACUUUGCGCCACGUUUUAAACGACACGGGCGAGGCACGUGACGUGUCAGGGACCAAACGACGUCGUGUUCUGAGAAUGGGUCCCGCGGAUUAAAAAUAUCCGUUAGGAGAGCGAAAGCCGGUGAGAUCCAUCAUCCAAUGGAGAAAACAAGAAAAUGAAAACGAAAAAAAUAAUCAUAAUGAAAACAAAAAUCCGCAUAAUUGUCAGUAGCUUGUUCUGGGUCUGAUCGCGACGAGAUAACGAAUCUGAAGCGCUUCCCCCCCGCCCCCCUCUAUUUUUACAAUCCGAUCCCAAACUUGAAAUUCCAAUUCACAAUUCGCAGAGCCCUCCGGCGCGGCGCACAAUUCUGGCGCGAAAUUGGUUUCAAACUACGACUGGGUCAACCGUUCCGGCGAGGUACGAA